AGUUUGUUUGGGGGUUGGGGGGCUGACUUUGCUUAGGGGGCAAUGGUUACGGCCUACAGGUUCUCUCUCUUGCCCUGGAGUUUGAGCUUCCGGGCCCCCUCCAUCCCAGUCCUAUUAGCCAAGAGGCCGCGGAUCUAUAAUAGGCUCUUACAGGGAGGACUGUUCUGCGGAGCGCUCCGAACGGACAAACCACAAUAAAAAGUUCACGUUCAUGGAUGGAAUCCACAUGACUUCUUGUGGCCAAUCCAACUUGAAGAGAACUACAUCCUUCCCAGUGGGGAGCCCAGGCAGCCCCCCACUCCACCCUAAACGGGAACAGGAGACACACGCCGCUGGAAACCUCCUAGCCAAGCCUGACCUGGCCGUGUUCUGACGAGCGGAGAGGGUUUAGACCCAUACUGGGCAGCCCUGCGGAGGCAGCAGGAGGGGUGAGAGUUGGGGGCGGCCUCCAGAACCCCCAAAGAGCCCGUCAUCCUCAGGCUCCUUUCUCAGAGAAAAUGACAUUUUUCCUUCUCCAAGACUAUCCCUGGUGUCAAGUCUCCUCAAUUCCUAGGUUCAGAGGGCAGCUUAUUCCCAAUCUUUUUAGAAUUGAAAAUAAAAUGAAGGUCCAAGA